rnacentral:rRNA from 1 species
UUCGCAAUGCCCGAAAGGGUGACGAAGCGACGCCGCGUGUGGGAAGAAGGCCUUCGGGUUGUAAACCACUGUCGGGAGUUAAGAAAUGCAAGAAUGUUAAUAGCGUUUUUGCUUGACUAAGGCUCCGGAGGAAGCCACGGCUAACUCUGUGCCAGCAGCCGCGGUAAUACAGAGGCGGCAAGCGUUGUUCGGAAUUAUUGGGCGUAAAGAGCACGUAGGCGGCUAUAUAAGUCGGUUGUGAAAGCCUUCCGCUCAACGGAAGAACAGCAUUUGAUACUGCAUGGCUUGAGUGCGGGAGGGGAGAGUGGAACUUCUGGUGGAGCGGUGAAAUGCGUAGAUAUCAGAAGGAACGCCGGCGGCGAAAGCGGCUCUCUGGCCCAUAACUGACGCUGAGUGUGCGAAAGCUAGGGGAGCAAACGGGAUUAGAUACCCCGGUAGUCCUAGCCGUAAAC